rnacentral:rRNA from 1 species
CCUACGGGUGGCAGCAGUGAGGAAUAUUGGUCAAUGGGCGCGAGCCGGAACCAGCCAAGUAGCGUGAAGGAUGACUGCCCUACGGGGUGUAAACUUCGUUUAUAAAGGAAUAAAGUGAGGCACGUGUGCCUUUUUGUAUGUACUUUAUGAAUAAGGAUCGGCUAACUCCGUGCCAGCAGCCGCGGUAAUACGGAGGAUCCGAGCGUUAUCCGGAUUUAUUGGGUUUAAAGGGAGCGUAGAUGGGUUGUUAAGUCAGUUGUGAAAGUUUGCGGCUCAACCGUAAAAUUGCAAUUGAUACUGGCAGUCUUGAGUACAGUUGAGGUAGGCGGAAUUCUUGGUGUAGCGGUGAAAUGCUUCGAUAUCACGAAGAACUCCGAUUGCGCAGGCAGCUUACUACACUGCCACUGACAUUGAUGCUCGAAAGUGUGGGUAUCAAACAGGAUUAGCUACCCCUGUAGUC